rnacentral:rRNA from 1 species
UGGCAAGUUUUUUGCCAGCAGCCGCGGUAAUUCCAGCUCCAAUAGCGUAUAUUAAAGUUGUUGCAGUUAAAAAGCUCGUAGUUGAAACUUGGGCCUGGCUGGCGGGUCCGCCUCACCGCGUGCACUCGUCCGGCCGGGCCUUCCUUCUGAAGAACCUCAUGCCCUUCACUGGGCGUGUUGGGGAAUCAGGACUUUUACUUUGAAAAAAUUAGAGUGUUCAAAGCAGGCCUUUGCUCGAAUACGUUAGCAUGGAAUAAUAAAAUAGGGCGUGCGUUUCUAUUUUGUUGGUUUCUAGAGACGCCGCAAUGAUUAACAGGAACAGUCGGGGGCAUCAGUAUUCAGUUGUCAGAGGUGAAAUUCUUGGAUUUACUGAAGACUAACUACUGCGAAAGCAUUUGCCAAGGAUGUUUUCAUUAAUCAGUGAACGAAAGUCAGGGGAUCGAAGACGCA